rnacentral:rRNA from 1 species
GACGAACGCUGGCGGUAUGCUUAACACAUGCAAGUCGAACGAGAAGUUUUUUAUUGAACCUUCGGGGGAUAUAAGAGACAGACAGUGGCGAACGGGUGAGUAACGCGUGGGCAACCUACCUAUCGGAGCGGGAUAGCCUCGAGAAAUCGGGAGUAAAACCGCAUAACACGGAUAUAUCGCAUGAUGAAUCCGUCAAAACUCCGGUGCCGAUAGAUGGGCCCGCGUCUGAUUAGCUAGUUGGUAAGGUAAGGGCUUACCAAGGCAACGAUCAGUAGCCGGUCUGAGAGGGCGAACGGCCACACUGGAACUGAGACACGGUCCAGACUCCUACGGGAGGCAGCAGUGGGGAAUAUUGCGCAAUGGGGGCAACCCUGACGCAGCAAUACCGCGUGAGUGAAGA